UACGUAGGGGGCAAGCGUUGUCCGGAUUUAUUGGGCGUAAAGAGCGUGUAGGCGGCUAGAUAGGUCCGUUGUGAAAACUGGAGGCUCAACCUCCAGCUGUCGAUGGAAACCAUCUGGCUAGAGUCCGGAAGAGGCAAGUGGAAUUCCCGGUGUAGCGGUGAAAUGCGCAGAUAUCGGGAGGAACACCAAUGGCGAAGGCAGCUUGCUGGGACGGUACUGACGCUGAGACGCGAAAGCGUGGGGAGCGAACAGG
rnacentral:rRNA from 1 species